rnacentral:tRNA from 1 species
GUUUUAAUAAUUUAUAAAAAAAUAAUGAUUUUGUAAAUCAAAAAUAGGUUUCACCUUUAAAACU